GCGCUUGGAGAGGGGGUCGCGGCUGAUUAGCUAGUUGGUAGGGUAACGGCCUACCAAGGCGAAGAUCGGUAUCCGGCCUGAGAGGGCGCACGGACACACUGGAACUGAAACACGGUCCAG
rnacentral:rRNA from 1 species